UCCUUGUGUUAUUUCUUCAUUGUUCCUUUGUUUUCUUCGUGGUAUUACUGAUAUUUUCUUUUAAUUCUGCAAACAAGGCACCGGGGAAUUUCGUUCUUUUCGGUAUUCAUUAACAGAAUGAAGCAGUAGAGCUUGGUGCCUGAUACAACGUAAUGAUCAACUCUCUUGCGCUGUAUAUAAGAAUGCAGGCAAUAAUAAACUUGGUGAUAGAGUAUCUGGUGCACUGGCCAGUGAAGCUGAAGCCCGGGGUUUGUGAUCCUGUGCAUGUGCCCAACGAAGAUGACUUUGAGGUUGAAUCCACAUGGGCUGGAACGGAGAGAUCCUUUUGGGAACGUGUAGUUGCAUAGGUGUCAGCAACUUCUCUAGCAAUGAGAUCGUAAAGUUAUUGGAUUUUGCUUCGGUACUGUUGUGCUGCCGAAAUUGGUUUCGGAUAAAAUAUUUGUGCUUCAAUAAAUUUUUUAUUAAAUUAAUUUUUGAGAUAAAGUUAAACGUGAUUUAUUUUUUUUUA